rnacentral:rRNA from 1 species
GACGAACGCUGGCGGCGUGCCUAAUACAUGCAAGUCGAGCGAGCUUGCCUAGAUGAAUUUGGUGCUUGCACCAGAUGAAACUAGAUACAAGCGAGCGGCGGACGGGUGAGUAACACGUGGGUAACCUGCCCAAGAGACUGGGAUAACACCUGGAAACAGAUGCUAAUACCGGAUAACAAAACUAGACGCAUGUCUAGAGUUUAAAAGAUGGUUCUGCUAUCACUCUUGGAUGGACCUGCGGUGCAUUAGCUAGUUGGUAAGGCAACGGCUUACCAAGGCAAUGAUGCAUAGCCGAGUUGAGAGACUGAUCGGCCACAUUGGGACUGAGACACGGCCCAAACUCCUACGGGAGGCAGCAGUAGGGAAUCUUCCACAAUGGACGCAAGUCUGAUGGAGCAACGCCGCGUGAGUGAAGAAGGGUUUCGGCUCGUAAAGCCCUGUUGGUAGUGAAGAAAGAUAGAGGUAGUAACUGGCCUUUAUUUGACGGUAAUUACUUAGAAAGUCACGGCUAACUACGUG